GCGGGCGUAGCUUAACGGUAGAGCAGUAGACUUCGGAUCUGAAGGCUGAGGGUUCAAAUCCCUCCGUCCGUA